rnacentral:tRNA from 1 species
AUACAAUAAGGGAACUGUAGCG